GACGAACCGUGCGAACGUUGUUCGGAAUCACUGGGCUUAAAGGGCGCGUAGGCGGGCCCGCAAGUCAGGGGUGAAAUCCCACGGCGCAACCGUGGAAGUGCCUUUGAUACUGCGGGUCUCGAGGGAGGUAGGGGCGUGCGGAACUUCCGGUGGAGCGGUGAAAUGCGUAGAUAUCGGAAGGAACACCGGUGGCGAAAGCGGCGCGCUGGACCUCUUCUGACGCUGAGGCGCGAAAGCCAGGGGAGCGAACGGG
rnacentral:rRNA from 1 species